rnacentral:rRNA from 1 species
UACGUAGGGGGCAAGCGUUGUCCGGAAUCAUUGGGCGUAAAGCGCGUGUAGGCGGCCCGAUAAGUCCGCUGUGAAAGUCCAGGGCUCAACCCUGGGAUGCCGGUGGAUACUGUCGGGCUCGAGUCCGGAAGAGGAGUGUGGAAUUCCUGGUGUAGCGGUGAAAUGCGCAGAUAUCAGGAGGAACACCAAUGGCGAAGGCAGCACUCUGGGACGUGACUGACGCUGAGGAGCGAAAGCCAGGGGAGCAAACAGG